rnacentral:rRNA from 1 species
GACGAACGCUGGCGGCGUGCUUAACACAUGCAAGUCGAACGGAAAGGCCCUGCUUUUGUGGGGUGCUCGAGUGGCGAACGGGUGAGUAACACGUGAGUAACCUGCCAUUGACUUUGGGAUAACUUCAGGAAACUGGGGCUAAUACCGGCUAGGAGCUCCUGCUGCAUGGUGGGGGUUGGAAAGUUUCGGCGGUUGGGGAUGGACUCGCGGCUUAUCAGCUUGUUGGUGGGGUAGUGGCUUACCAAGGCUUUGACGGGUAGCCGGCCUGCGAGGGUGACCGGCCACAUUGGGACUGAGAUACGGCCCAGACUCCUACGGGAGGCAGCAGUGGGGAAUAUUGCACAAUGGGCGGAAGCCUGAUGCAGCAACGCCGCGUGCGGGAUGACGGCCUUCGGGUUGUAAACCGCUUUCGCCUGUGACGAAGCGUGAGUGACGGUAAUGGGUAAAGAAGCACCGGCUAACUACGUG